CAACAGGAAUACCCCUCCACCAACGUAUAGGCUGCAACGGAAGUGAUAAUCGUUGUUAAGCAUCCGCUUUCAACCACUCGGCCACGCCCAGCGACCCAAGUCAACAGAAACGCAACCAACCAUUAUCUUUUCCUGAAAAACCUCCCCUCACAAUCCUCGCCCGAUCGAAAAGGAUCGUGAUCCCAGAUCGCUGCCGUGUCAAUGCUGCGCCGCCCCGGCCCGAGCACCGCCGCCUCGUCCCUGCCCUGACCCCGCCGCAUCCUCCAGUUCUGCCGUCGACGCUGCGCCGCCUCGACCCGCAUGUCGCCGCUUUAUCCUCUCCCGUGCUGCGCCGACGGCUGACCGGCACGCCGCCGCCUCAUUGCCCCGAUCGCGAUGGCCCCUGAAUCCCCUGACCCUGUUGCCUGGACCGCCACAUCGUGCUCCAUCUCGUCCGCUGCUGUUCUCAGCUGAUCUGGUUGAUCCCUAGUGACUUAGUUAUUAGUUAUUGAUCAUGCCCCAAGUUUCUCGAUGGAAUUGCAAUGUAAGCUAAGUGAUUAGUGAAUCUUGUGGCUAUUUUUCUGCUCUGGUAUGUGGUAAUGACAUGAACCAUGCCUUUUUUAUUAACUUUAUCAUUAUACAGUGCAGAGUAACCAUAAAAAGAUAUAAAGUUCAUAGCUCAGAUUGUCGACUUUUUUUAAUUAGUUUAAGUUAUGUUUUGCCAAUUACUACCUGCUACCAGAUACAUAAAUUUAACAUGUGGACAGUUGUUUGUUGCUGUUCUAUCAUCUAAAAGAUGAGUGUAUUCAUGCCACAGAAAUAUUCUGCUUUUCUUAUGUCCAAGUUCCAUUUAUUUCAGUGUGAAGAAUUAUUAGCAGAGAAUUCUUAACCAGGGAUGGUUCCAAAGAUGCUUGGCACAAAAAUUUAGCCAUUGGUGAAAGCAAAUAAUUUGAUCCAAAGAGUAACUCUGGCUGUUAAGUGACAAAUUGAGAUCUCAUUCUGCUACAUGAACAAUGGGAAAGCCAACCCAUACUUCGGAUUUUUUCCAAGCUGUAAUGGGAUGUUAAAUGUUCAUUGCCAUUACAUAUCUUUUCCUGUAAUCCAGUGACAUCUAUUUUAUGGUGAAGUGUUGCCUUGAGGAUGAUGGGAUAGAGGAAGAAGAAAUUGCUAAGGAGAAGAUAUUGUUGUUGCUGCCAAGUGCCCAAGUUACAGAAACUAAUGUUGAUCUGGUCACAGAGAAAAUUCAAGAUGAUGUUUUUUUUUUUGCAAGAUUCAACAUAUGUUUGUACUACACUCACUAAUAUGCUGUGGUGUAUACACAAGUUGUACUUAUAAGAGAUUUGUGAAUUAAUAUAUUGUGAUUUUUUUCUUAUAGUACUUAUGAGUUUUUCUUGUCCAAAUGGAACCUAUAUAAGAUCGUAGUGUAAAUUAUUAAUUACAAAUUGGCAAGUAAGUAAUAUGUAUUUGGUAAAUGUGAA